UCCGAAGCAGCCGGGGCCGCUGCAAGUGCCGUCGCCGCUGCGCUCGCCUUCUUCGGCGCGUGCAAGCCCUCCAGCACCACCUUCACCUUGCCGUACACAUCGUCCGGAGCCGCCACAGCGCUGAUCACGUGGCACUUGCCCUGCGUAAGGUAGUGGUCCUUCACGGGCAGCGACUGAUCCAGGAAGGUGUGGAAGCGCUUGCGAAUGGUGUCGGCGUUGUCGUCGCUGCGGCCGCUGGUCUCCCCGCGCUUCAGCAGGCGCUUCUCCAUCUCCUCCUCCGGGCAGUCAAAGAACAGCACCGUCUUGCACGGCAUGAUGCUGCUCUCAAACUGCUCCGCCUGGUCCAGCGCGCGUGGAAAGCCGUCGAUGAGGAAGAACUUGCCGCCGCUGGCUAUCAUGUCCCGCUUCAGCAGGUUGAGCGUGACAGCCACCGGCACGAGCUUGCCCUCCUUCAUCAGCGCCUCGCACUUCUGGCCAACCUCGCUGCCGCUCUUCACCUCAGCGCGCAGCAGGUCGCCGGCGCUGAGGUGCACGCACUCAUACUCCUCCUUGAUCUGAUCGCAUUGCGUGCCCUUGCCGCUGCCGGGGCCGCCGAGCACGAACACGAUCUGGGCGUCGGCAGGCAGGCUGCCGGGCACGGGCGGCAGCGCAAACUCCUGCAUAGGGACGAAAAUGCAAUGGAAAUCAGCAAGCCGAGAUUAAUAAUCAGUGGAAACUUACGCAUCAGUACACUUGCACUUCAGUACGCAUCCUACUACCGGGAGGAUACGGUAAGGCAGGCAGGCAGAGGCCAUCGAUUUCACGCUUGCCCCAGCUUUCCGUACGAUGUACCGUAUGCUAGGUUGCUUGACCGGAACCCGUGCAAGACGCACACGGAUAUACCACCGGUGAACAGCCAUGACCGCUCACCUCCAAAGCAGCCGCAGCAGGAGUAGCCGAAACUGUCGCAGUCACGCCCGCCUUCUUCGGCGCGUGCAAGCCCUCCAGCACCACCUUCACCUUGCCGUACACAUCGUCCGGAGCCGCCACAGCGCUGAUCACGUGGCACUUGCCCUGCGUAAGGUAGUGGUCCUUCACAGGCAGCGACUGAUCCAGGAAGGUGCGGAAGCGCUUGCGAAUGGUGUCGGCGUUGUCGUCGCUGCGGCCGCUGGUCUCCCCGCGCUUCAGCAGGCGCUUCUCCAUCUCCUCCUCCGGGCAGUCGAAGAACAGCACCGUCUUGCACGGCAUGAUGCUGCUCUCAAACUGCGCCGCCUGGUCCAGCGCGCGCGGAAAGCCGUCGAUGAGGAAGAACUUGCCGCCGCUGGCUAUCAUGUCCCGCUUCAGCAGGUUAAGCGUGACAGCCACCGGCACGAGCUUGCCCUCCUUCAUCAGCGCCUCGCACUUCUGGCCGACCUCGCUGCCGCUCUUCACCUCAGCGCGCAGCAGGUCGCCGGCGCUGAGGUGCACGCACUCGUAGUCGGCCUUAAUCUUGUCGCAUUGCGUCCCCUUGCCGCUGCCGGGGCCGCCGAGCACGAACACGAUCUGGGCGUCGGCAGGCAGGUUGCCGGGCACAGGUGGCAGCGCGAUGUCCUGCAUAAAAGCAACCAAGGGAACAAACGUGCAAUCAUAAGGUGUUGGCUGUGGCGCCGACCAUGACCCAGUGCCCUUGUACACAAAGCAAUGGGGCGUGCCGUACGCGCCGCACACACAGAACAGCGGUUUGGUGGCUGGAAACAUAAGAUGCGGCACGGUAUCCCUAUCUGCAGGUCGGCUUCUCAAGUGUUCAACUUAGGCAAGACGCACCUCCGAAGCAGCCGGGGCCGCUGCAAGUGCCGUCGCCGCUGCGCUCGCCUUCUUCGGCGCGUGCAAGCCCUCCAGCACCACCUUCACCUUGCCGUACACAUCGUCCGGAGCCGCCACAGCGCUGAUCACGUGGCACUUGCCCUGCGUAAGGUAGUGGUCCUUCACGGGCAGCGACUGAUCCAGGAAGGUGUGGAAGCGCUUGCGAAUGGUGUCGGCGUUGUCGUCGCUGCGGCCGCUGGUCUCCCCGCGCUUCAGCAGGCGCUUCUCCAUCUCCUCCUCCGGGCAGUCAAAGAACAGCACCGUCUUGCACGGCAUGAUGCUGUUCUCAAACUGCGCCGCCUGGUCCAGCGCGCGCGGAAAGCCGUCGAUGAGGAAGAACUUGCCGCCGCUGGCUAUCAUGUCCCGCUUCAGCAG
rnacentral:lncRNA from 1 species